rnacentral:rRNA from 1 species
AUUGAACGCUGGCGGCAGGACUAACACAUGCAAGUCGAGCGAGCGGCGGACGGGUGAGUAAUGUAUGGGUACUGCCCGAUAGAGGGGGAUAAUUACUUGACCCGGUGGCUAAUACCGCAUACUAUCGGAUUACCCAUAUGGGAUUAGCUAGUAGGUGGGGUAACGGAUCACCUAGGCGACGAUCUCUAGCUGGUCUGAGAGGAUGAUCAGACAGACUGUGCCUGGGACAGUGACCAGAUUCUUACGGAGGGCGCAGUGGGGAAUAUUUCACAAUGGGCGAAGGCGUGAUGCACCAAUGCGGCGUGUAGGAAGCAGGGCAUAGGGUUGUAAAUUACUUUCAGCGUGGAGGCGUUACCCUUAGAAGCAGCACCGGCUAACACCGUUGCAGCAGCCGCGGUAAUAC